UACAGAGGGUGCGAGCGUUGUCCGGAAUCACUGGGCGUAAAGUGUGCGCAGGUGGCCGCGCAAGUCGAGUGUGAAAUCCCCGAGCUUAACUUGGGAAUUGCGCUCGAAACUACGUGGCUCGAGUGUGGCAGAGGAAGGUGGAAUUCCACGUGUAGCGGUGAAAUGCGUAGAGAUGUGGAGGAACACCGAUGGCGAAGGCAGCCUUCUGGGCCAACACUGACGCUCAUGCACGAAAGCGUGGGGAGCAAACAGG
rnacentral:rRNA from 1 species